AGUGUAUUCCUAUGAAGUCGAGAAAAAAGAAAAUUUAACAAAAAAAAGUCAAACCCAAUAGGGUGUUGUCACACAUUACAUUCUAUCCCAAUCUCUCUAUUCAUAGCGUAUUCCAUCGGAGUGGAGAAUAUUUUAUUCUUUCUUCCUAAGUUUUUGUUAAUCUCAUCCAAAAUUCAAAGACUAGCUAAAAAUAAAUACCAAACCCUAAACCUAGUAGACUCUAUAAUUAGAAACCUUUAAGAAACUAAGGGAAGGAAGGGAUCCAAUCAUUAAGAAAUCAGUUGGAAGAAUCGUGAAGAAGCAGUUGUGAGACCCCUUUUUCCUUCUUCCAAAACCCUUGGAGCUAAGAAAGAAAGAAUAAUAGGAAAGAGCUCCAAAAACCAGCUCACACAAAAACAUCACAAACCACUCGAAAACACCAUGAAAUUCAUCUUUUAAUCUCUGUAAGCUUACUCUCAAUUGUUGUCGAGUUAGAAGUGAUCCAGACGAUCGAGCUUCGGUCGGUGGUCUUAUUGUUGGUGUAAAGUUGCGAAUUACCCUUUGUUUUCCACCGAAUUGAGUUAAUUGAAGGAAUUUUGGCUAUAAAGGUCUUUGAAAUAUAGGGUAGAAGGAAUGCAGUUUGGCAUCCUACUUUUAUUUUGAGAUAAAGUCAAAAGUGUCUUGGCACUUGGUGAAGGAUUAUUAGUCACACAUAUUAAGCAAGAUUGGAUCAGCAACGAAGACGAAUAGCACUGCUACCAAACAAGUUACCCCUCCCUGACUCGAGGUGUUCACUCGAGUAAGCCAGUUUAGACACCUCUCUAUCAAGUUACAUCUAGUAGAACUGAAUUCCAUAUGUAGCUAUCCCUAUUAAUCUUCACAUUAUCUGCAUCAUGUGCAUUUGACUUAGCGGGACUCGACAUACGGGUCGGGUCUAUCUAAGACAAGUAGCCUAUUAAAGACCAA